GGUUAAGCGACUAAGCGUACACGGUGGAUGCCCUGGCAGUCAGAGGCGAUGAAGGACGUGCUAAUCUGCGAUAAGCGUCGGUAAGGUGAUAUGAACCGUUAUAACCGGCGAUUUCCGAAUGGGGAAACCCAGUGUGAUUCGUCACACUAUCAUUAACUGAAUCCAUAGGUUAAUGAGGCGAACCGGGGGAACUGAAACAUCUAAGUACCCCGAGGAAAAGAAAUCAACCGAGAUUCCCCCAGUAGCGGCGAGCGAACGGGGAGCAGCCCAGAGCCUGAAUCAGUGUGUGUGUUAGUGGAAGCGUCUGGAAAGGCGUGCGAUACAGGGUGACAGCCCCGUACACAAAAAUGCACAUACUGUGAGCUCGAUGAGUAGGGCGGGACACGUGGUAUCCUGUCUGAAUAUGGGGGGACCAUCCUCCAAGGCUAAAUACUCCUGACUGACCGAUAGUGAACCAGUACCGUGAGGGAAAGGCGAAAAGAACCCCGGCGAGGGGAGUGAAAAAGAACCUGAAACCGUGUACGUACAAGCAGUGGGAGCACGCUUAGGCGUGUGACUGCGUACCUUUUGUAUAAUGGGUCAGCGACUUAUAUUCUGUAGCAAGGUUAACCGAAUAGGGGAGCCGAAGGGAAACCGAGUCUUAACUGGGCGUUAAGUUGCAGGGUAUAGACCCGAAACCCGGUGAUCUAGCCAUGGGCAGGUUGAAGGUUGGGUAACACUAACUGGAGGACCGAACCGACUAAUGUUGAAAAAUUAGCGGAUGACUUGUGGCUGGGGGUGAAAGGCCAAUCAAACCGGGAGAUAGCUGGUUCUCCCCGAAAGCUAUUUAGGUAGCGCCUCGUGAAUUCAUCUCCGGGGGUAGAGCACUGUUUCGGCAAGGGGGUCAUCCCGACUUACCAACCCGAUGCAAACUGCGAAUACCGGAGAAUGUUAUCACGGGAGACACACGGCGGGUGCUAACGUCCGUCGUGAAGAGGGAAACAACCCAGACCGCCAGCUAAGGUCCCAAAGUCAUGGUUAAGUGGGAAACGAUGUGGGAAGGCCCAGACAGCCAGGAUGUUGGCUUAGAAGCAGCCAUCAUUUAAAGAAAGCGUAAUAGCUCACUGGUCGAGUCGGCCUGCGCGGAAGAUGUAACGGGGCUAAACCAUGCACCGAAGCUGCGGCAGCGACACUAUGUGUUGUUGGGUAGGGGAGCGUUCUGUAAGCCUGUGAAGGUGUACUGUGAGGUAUGCUGGAGGUAUCAGAAGUGCGAAUGCUGACAUAAGUAACGAUAAAGCGGGUGAAAAGCCCGCUCGCCGGAAGACCAAGGGUUCCUGUCCAACGUUAAUCGGGGCAGGGUGAGUCGACCCCUAAGGCGAGGCCGAAAGGCGUAGUCGAUGGGAAACAGGUUAAUAUUCCUGUACUUGGUGUUACUGCGAAGGGGGGACGGAGAAGGCUAUGUUGGCCGGGCGACGGUUGUCCCGGUUUAAGCGUGUAGGCUGGUUUUCCAGGCAAAUCCGGAAAACUAAGGCUGAGGCGUGAUGACGAGGCACUACGGUGCUGAAGCAACAAAUGCCCUGCUUCCAGGAAAAGCCUCUAAGCAUCAGGUAACAUCAAAUCGUACCCCAAACCGACACAGGUGGUCAGGUAGAGAAUACCAAGGCGCUUGAGAGAACUCGGGUGAAGGAACUAGGCAAAAUGGUGCCGUAACUUCGGGAGAAGGCACGCUGAUAUGUAGGUGAAGUCCCUCGCGGAUGGAGCUGAAAUCAGUCGAAGAUACCAGCUGGCUGCAACUGUUUAUUAAAAACACAGCACUGUGCAAACACGAAAGUGGACGUAUACGGUGUGACGCCUGCCCGGUGCCGGAAGGUUAAUUGAUGGGGUUAGCGCAAGCGAAGCUCUUGAUCGAAGCCCCGGUAAACGGCGGCCGUAACUAUAACGGUCCUAAGGUAGCGAAAUUCCUUGUCGGGUAAGUUCCGACCUGCACGAAUGGCGUAAUGAUGGCCAGGCUGUCUCCACCCGAGACUCAGUGAAAUUGAACUCGCUGUGAAGAUGCAGUGUACCCGCGGCAAGACGGAAAGACCCCGUGAACCUUUACUAUAGCUUGACACUGAACAUUGAGCCUUGAUGUGUAGGAUAGGUGGGAGGCUUGGAAGUGUGGACGCCAGUCUGCAUGGAGCCGACCUUGAAAUACCACCCUUUAAUGUUUGAUGUUCUAACGUUGACCCGUAAUCCGGGUUGCGGACAGUGUCUGGUGGGUAGUUUGACUGGGGCGGUCUCCUCCUAAAGAGUAACGGAGGAGCACGAAGGUUGGCUAAUCCUGGUCGGACAUCAGGAGGUUAGUGCAAUGGCAUAAGCCAGCUUGACUGCGAGCGUGACGGCGCGAGCAGGUGCGAAAGCAGGUCAUAGUGAUCCGGUGGUUCUGAAUGGAAGGGCCAUCGCUCAACGGAUAAAAGGUACUCCGGGGAUAACAGGCUGAUACCGCCCAAGAGUUCAUAUCGACGGCGGUGUUUGGCACCUCGAUGUCGGCUCAUCACAUCCUGGGGCUGAAGUAGGUCCCAAGGGUAUGGCUGUUCGCCAUUUAAAGUGGUACGCGAGCUGGGUUUAGAACGUCGUGAGACAGUUCGGUCCCUAUCUGCCGUGGGCGCUGGAGAACUGAGGGGGGCUGCUCCUAGUACGAGAGGACCGGAGUGGACGCAUCACUGGUGUUCGGGUUGUCAUGCCAAUGGCACUGCCCGGUAGCUAAAUGCGGAAGAGAUAAGUGCUGAAAGCAUCUAAGCACGAAACUUGCCCCGAGAUGAGUUCUCCCUGACUCCUUGAGAGUCCUGAAGGAACGUUGAAGACGACGACGUUGAUAGGCCGGGUGUGUAAGCGCAGCGAUGCGUUGAGCUAACCGGUACUAAUGAACCGUGAGGCUUAACCUU
rnacentral:rRNA from 1 species